AGGUUGGCUGCUUCUCUUCUUGUCAUGUUAACAGAGUUCAUGUAAAGGUAAAGAAGAAAAAAGGACAUUGAUUUUCAUUGUGUCCUAAUGUUGAUCACAUGGACCUGAAGCAGAGAUGAGGAGCAGCUACAGAGGUUUUGCAGGUGCAUUCCUUCUUUUCUUGGCACAUUACUGCCUCAACUGUUCAGAGAGGGAGGAGAGAGGGAGGAGAGAGGAGCAGAGCGACUGACUGAUUUACAGGCUGUUUGACGGAGUUCACACGAAAAACAUUCAUCCACCCCGACAGGCUGACGGACGCUCAGCUGAAGCUCUGAACGAGGAUGAACGUGGCUCUGAUCCACGACAGGCUGCACAUCAAGACAUUCUGGGAGAAGAGGAUCAGUAAUGAAUGUGAACAUGCUGAGAGCGAGGAGCAGAGGAUGGAGAAGAGCGCGCUGCAAAAGCUGAGGGGGGAGUGGCUGGUCCGUCUGGAGAACCGAACCAAACACUUGAAGAGCCUCAACGACAAAUACGUCAGGAAGCCCAAGACGGAGAAGUCAGCUGAGCCGUGAUGAGCUGAGACACACGGAGACGAAGACAAACGACAUGACGGUGAGAUCCAUCUGAACAUCUCACUCCCCGAAGGAAAGACGUCUCCCCGUCCUCGUUGCGUUGGACGUGGUCUGGCACCAGCGCCACCAGCGUGUUGAGGCACACGCCAUCUGUCUUCCCGUGCUGUCUGCCAU